rnacentral:lncRNA from 13 species
UCACAAACUGAUGUGUCUUUUUAUGUGGUCAGACAAAAGUAUUACACAAAAGUAAAGGGCUUGCUUUUAUCAACAUAGUUACUGACCAAUGCUGAGCAUAACUAUCCCUGGAAAAUAGACUUUCAAAGUACAGACAAUUUCCUAAGACAAAACUGUGCAUGUCUGCUAGAAAGAGAACUAAGCCUAUUCCAGAUGUUCGGAGCAGUGACCACAUCGUGACAGGUGGCAGAGUCCUGCUAGAGAGAUAUGUGUACCAUUGAUAGCAUCGUCAAUAUGUAGAUACGUCUGCUCAUAAAUAUUUUUAAGACAGAGCUAUGAGAAAUGCCAAGAUGGGUUGGGCUGCAGCGGUGCCCCCUCCUUAGUUCGGUGGCAGCCAGAGAAGGCUCCUGGCUGUGGAGGUGAUGGAACAGUCAGAGCAUGUGAGUCGUUCAUAAGGAGUGUUUGCCCUGGCAGCCUUCUUAACAAGAGGAUCUGUUGCUGUUUAGGAUGCUUUUACAAAAUUUUCCUAGUGAACAUGGGAAGACACUCAGGAAACAGUUACACAGUUUGGGAUUAUAUUCCUAGUAUAUAAUUAUUACCACUUUAAAAUUAACUGUUUUUUUUAAUUGCACAAAUUUAACUGGAAAUUUGUGCCAAUUCACUUUUCAGAGAAAAUAUAAAAUGUAGUCUACCCUUGGAAGUGAUUUUUAGUUCAAACUAGAGCUUAAGAAAGAAUAAGAGCAGCUCACACGUGUAAUCCCAACACUUUGGGAAGCAAAGACAGGAGGAUUGCUUGAGGCUAGGAAUUCAAGACCAGCCUGGGCAACAUAGCAAGGCCUCACCUCUAAAACAGCACAAUAAUAACACCACAAAACCUUAAGUAGUUCUAGAUACAAUGUAUGCUAUUCCAUAAUGAACAUCCAGAUUGGAUAGAGAUCUCCGUCUGUGUGUACAACUUAUUGUUUCCAUGUUGGAUAGAGAUCUCCCUCUGUGGUACAAUUCAUGGUUAUCAUGUUGGAUAGAGAUCUCCCUCUGUGGUACAAUUCGUGGUUAUCAUGUUGGAUAGAGAUCUCCCUCUGUGGUACAAUUCGUGGUUUCUAUGUUGGAUGGAAGAUCUCCCUCUGUGGUACAAUUCGUGGU